CAUGGAGAAAUAGCUUUGCAAUUUUUAUUUUGUGGAGAUUUAGCAUGAGGUUAAAGUUCGGUGGAGAUUUGAUGUUAUAUGAUAGUUAUCGUGGGGAAAUAGAUGGUCGAUCCAAGAAUAUGAUAGAAAAGUGAGCACAAACUUUAAGAAUAAAAUCGACUGAAACACACAAUAAACGGUUGAGGGAGAAGGAGAAUAAUAUUUUGUUAAACAAAAGGCAAAAGCAUCACGUAUUAUUUAGAGCAAAAUAUAUAAAUUAAGGAGAAUCUUGUCUCUCAGCCAGACGU
rnacentral:lncRNA from 1 species